rnacentral:lncRNA from 1 species
UAUCCUUAGUAAAAACUCCUCCUAAGCAAAAACAAACUCCUCCUCAUCCUUGCUGGAACGAUUCUGAUCCUUUAAACACCAGAAGUAAUCAGCCAAGGCAGGUAGAACCAGCAAAACAGCCGAUCAACUCCUCAAGGUUUUAUUUUAAAUCCCUUGUAUUGUUAAUACCAUCAAAGUAUGUUCUUACCCUUCACAGCACCAAAUCAUUUCAGAUUUUCAGCAACAUAAAAACCCAUGAGAUUCUGUUAAAGAUUAUACCUUUAAUUCAUUUGCAUAAAUUUUCUUCGAGUAUUAUUAAAGACAAGCAAGGAAAUUCCAUAUAGCAUUUUCAGAUUAUGCACAUAAGAGAGUGGACAAAUGACAUUCAUGUAUUCAUACUUUUACAUCAGAGCAUGUUUGUUUUUAAAAGAAGAGAAGAAAGAAGAGUCUUGAGUUUUGUUGGUGCUUGUCGUGUCUGUGUUGCUGUUGUUUUUGAGUCGAGGGAGGCGGCGGCAACUCCACCGCUGCCAUGGGAGGAGACGGCGCAAGGGGGGGCGUCUGUGUGUGGGCGUGUGCUGUGAGGGUCUGAGCGGAGAACAGUGGAGCGGCAGCUUAUCGCUGCUACUCGCCGGAGUCGGGGAAGAGAGCGGCUUCCGCUGCUCGUUGGCGGAAGUCAGAGAGGAUGGAGGCACGGCACGGCAGCGGCGCUGCUGUCGCCCGGCCACGGUGAGAGAGAGGGCAGACCGACGGUGGUUGAAUUCAGCUGCUAUGGCCGCUAGGGUCUGUAGAUAGGGGGAAGGGUGAGGGAGAUGGCCGACCUCGGCACUUCGGCGGAGGGAGGCAGAGCUCGGCGGCCAUGGCUGCUGUUGCUCGGCCACGGACGGAGGAAGAGAGAGGGAGUCGACGGCACUCGUCGUCGCUUCCCUGAGUCGCCGGAGAUCGAGACUAGGGUGGAGGUUGAAGGAGAUAUAGGUUGAAGGAGAUAUAGGUUGAGGGAGAUGGAGGCCGGUCGCCGGUUGUCUCGCCGGAAGGAGCCGCGGCCGUGGGAUAUGGCUGAGAGAGAGAGGUCGAGAGAGAGAUGACAGAUUUAGUUGUAUGCGUGUGUGUGUUAUGCGGCUGGGAAGAAGAAGAAGAGGGGAGGGAGUGUGGGCUUUAGGUUUGGGUUUUGGGAAUUGGGUUUGAUUUUUGGGCUUUGAAUGUUGGGCCUUUGUUUUAAAUUUUCAAUGGGCCGAUUUUUAUGAGUUUUUGGGCCGAGUCAGUUGGGCCGAUAUUCUUUUAUUUAGCUGGGCUCGAUUUAUUUUAUUCAGUUUGGGCCAUGUGUUUUAAAUGAGUAGAGUUAUUUUUGUCAGUGGGCCUCUAAUUAUUUUAAAUCAUGGGCUGCCCAAUUAUUUAAUUUAAUUGGAUUUAUGCAGAUUUUUAUUUAAAGGAGAUACACUAUUUUAAUUAAUUAGACUUAUUAAGUUUGAUUAAUUAUUUUUAAUUUGCAUAAUAAUAUUAUAUUAUUAUUAUGUGCAUAUUUUAAGUAAAUUACUUAAUAAAUGCUAAGCAUGACAUGAAAUUGCAUUUAUUUUGCAAUAAAAGUAUUUAAUUGGUUUUAAUUAUAAUUCCAAUUAUUAAAGAAAAAUGAGUAAGAAUAUUGUUGGUGUUCUUAACUCAAGAGAAAUGUUUUCAAUUUUUUAUUCAUUAAAUUUUGAAAACCCGGCUAAGUGAAUCAUAGAAUAUUAAGCACUACACCAUGACUUAAGAUUAGAAUUCAAGAAGACCUAUUGAGAAUAGAUUUCUUGUAGGCUUUGUGAUGACCAGGAGGAUUAGCGCUACUUUCCCAAGACAGGUUUAUAUGUGUAUGAUCUUCAGGCUUUGCCUAUCCAGGUGGGCU